UCUACACCCUUUGUGACAUACCUAUAACUGUUGCUUCGGCGGGUAGGGUCUCCGUGACCCUCCCGGCCUCCCGCCCCCGGGCGGGUCGGCGCCCGCCGGAGGAUAACCAAACUCUGAUUUAACGACGUUUCUUCUGAGUGGUACAAGCAAAUAAUCAAAACUUUUAACAACGGAUCUCUUGGUUCUGGCAUCGAUGAAGAACGCAGCGAAAUGCGAUAAGUAAUGUGAAUUGCAGAAUUCAGUGAAUCAUCGAAUCUUUGAACGCACAUUGCGCCCGCCAGCAUUCUGGCGGGCAUGCCUGUUCGAGCGUCAUUUCAACCCUCAAGCUCUGCUUGGUGUUGGGGCCCUACAGCUGAUGUAGGCCCUCAAAGGUAGUGGCGGACCCUCCCGGAGCCUCCUUUGCGUAGUAACUUUACGUCUCGCACUGGGAUCCGGAGGGACUCUUGCCGUAAAACCCCCAAUUUUCCAAAGGUUGACCUCGGAUCAGGUAGGAAUACCCGCUGAACUUAAGCAUAUCAAUAAGCGGAGGA
rnacentral:rRNA from 1 species